GUGCAUAUAAGCAAGCCCCUGCGACCUCCCCUUGGCCAUAGGCGAGCAGAAACAUCGGAGUGCGCAGUAAGUACCCUCGCCGGAGCAAACAGAGAAAAAGAAGCCGCCGCCAUGGGACCGUGUCCCUAUUGCCGCUCGAAGCGCGGUCUCUGCCCCAGGGUGCUUCAACUCAGCCCUAGGAAUGUGUCCGUGCAUUGCCCAGAUGGGGAGAUGCACCGGGCUCACUGGAAUCUCUCGCUGGAGUAAAACCACCGCCGCAUGCCGCGCGCGGGCAUGACUGGGGGACUGCGCGGCUCAACCACCGAUAUGAUCAUCCCCAUCAGGUUCGCCGCAUACUCUACUGCCUUUUGCACAUCAUCGUGUUUGAGGUGGGCGCCGAAUGGUCGAACCAUCGCUCGUCGGCAUGCUCGCAUCCAUGGGAUGCCCGGCGCCGCCGCACCGUGGAUCGAGAUGGGAGAAACUACGCCAGCCGUCGGAUGUAGGACUUGUGGCCGAGAUUAGGCCGGGGUAAUGGUUCUACUAGAUCCGUUAUCCGCCAUUGGUCUCUGUGUCGACGGCUCGGAUCUAAUGAUAGCAAUACCCCUUCACAGCAUUAAAAACUAGUUCUUGAUCGUCCAUCCUGCGGCUUGGGAUAUCACGCGUAUCUCGUUCGUUCGUCGUGAAUCUCACGGUUCAGGCUACGUACCGGUUCAGAUGGGUUUGGAUCUAAUCUGAUCCGUAGAUUGGUGAUCCAACCGCCAAAAUAUAACCAUACCCCUUCGGUGGCCGUUUUCUUAAAAAGACCCUAGAUGUCUAGAUAAUGGUGAUCGCCCAUCCGAGAGAUUCAUAUUUAA
rnacentral:lncRNA from 7 species